UACCUGCAGCUCAAGUGGUGACCGCUAUUAUUGGGCCUAAAACGUUCGUAGCUGGUUUGGUAAAUGCCUGGGUAAAUCGUGUAGCUCAACUAUACGAAUUCCGGGUAGACUGUCAAACUUGAGACCGGGAGAAGCUAGAGGUACUCCUGGGGUAGAGGUGAAAUUCUGUAAUCCUGGGGGGACCACCAGUGGCGAAGGCGUCUAGCUAGAACGGGUUUGACGGUGAGGAACGAAGCCCUGGGGCGCAAACCGGAUUAGAUACCCGGGUAGUCCAGGGUGUAAACGCUGCUUGCUUGAUGUUAGUUGGGCUCCGAGCCCAAUUAGUGUCGGAGAGAAGUUGUUAAGCAAGCUGCCUGGGAAGUACGAUCGCAAGAUUGAAACUUAAAGGAAUUGGCGGGGGAGCACAGCAACGGGUGGAGCGUGCGGUUU
rnacentral:rRNA from 1 species